GGGGAGGGGACGGCCCCGAUCCCGUGCUGGUUUACUCGGGAGUAAACAUCAGCUCCGCGCUCAUGUAAGCGUGCUUAGGGAUUGCAGAGACGUGCCAAGGAGUGCGUUACAGUGUUCUUCCGGCAGCCUAACAUUACAAGAAAAAUUGCUGUAUGGCUUCAGAAACUGAACCCGAGGGAAGUUAUUGUCCGCCGCGCACGGUGGUGGAUGGACUUUCUGCGGAACGCAGUGCGCUUAAAAUGGCCCGAGGCUGUGCGCGUCUAUUCGGGAGUAAGUCUCGCCGGAUCCGACGGGGUUUACUACGAGAUGGCUUUACAAAACGAGAUGUGACAUAUUCACAGAAGGCCAAAGAGCUCCGAGUUCUACUUCAGUGACCCUUCCAUCGUUUCAGCUUCUCCGAACCAGACGCCUCCUAUACAUUGCAAUCCCUUGUAGAGUAAAAGAAAUCAAUGAUUAGAGAACCAGCUGCCGUUUGCAGGGGUAAAUAUUAAUGGUGCGUCGCCCACUUCAAAGAAACGCUUCGUCAGUUUCCGGGGCACCGUAUCGUGGAAGAGGGCUUUCAUGCUACCUGAGUUGGAACUAACAGACUCGAUUGCAGCCGCUGAGCCAAUUUCCACUUAGCCAAUAGUGCCUUUCUUUUCUUAAGAUUUGGGUGGGUGUCAUUUUGUCUUAUCUCCCUCUGCAGCGAAGCCUCCUGCAGUGUCUGAAGCAAAAAUGCAUGUGAAAUCAUUACACCUUUUGAUUGCAGGCGCAGGUAUCGUUACCAGCCAGCUUUGCAAAGCCUUAUCUCUGUCUCCUCUCUGCCUUCUUUCCAUUGGGUUGGCAGAGGCCAGGAGAGGCGGGCACAAGUUACCAAGCCAGCUUCAGGUCUUAUCAGUUGGCCACGAAUAAGAUUCCAGGGAGCGGGGAGGGGGGGAGGGUUCACAGUUCACUUGCGAUAAGACCUUUUUCGAAAGCGCGUCCCAAGUCAUGCUGGCUGGAAAGGAAGCUGAACCAAAAGAUUAUCCAGCCCUUUUUUAGCGGCUGCAUUGAACAGAAGCCAAAUCACACCGCCAGGUGAGUAACACGAUAUGCCGAGUGCUGGUUUUAUCGUGUGUUGACCUUUAAAGGAGCGUCUCCACCCCCAUCGUUCAGCCCGGACACUGAGGUCCAGCACCGAGGGCCUUCUGGCGGUUCCCUCCCUGCGAGAAGUGAAGUUAUAGGGAACCAGGCAGAGGGCCUUCUCGGUAGUGGCACCCACCCUGUGGAACGCCCUUCUAUCAGAUGUCAAAUAAAUAACUAUUUAGAAGACAUCUGAAGGCAGCUCUGUUUAGGGAAGCCUUUAAAUGUUUAACAUUUUAUGUUUUUAUAUAUGUUGGAAGCAGCCCAGUGUGGGUCGGACAACCUGUCAGAUGGGUUGGGUAUAAAUAAUAAUUUAAUGUUAUAAUUGUUGAUAUAGUUAAAGCUAUGGUAUAGUUAAAGCUAUGGUUUUCCCAGUAGUGAUAUAUGGAAGUGAGAGCUGGACCAUCAAGAAGGCUGAUCACCGAAGAAUUGAUGCUUUUGAAUUAUGGUGCUGGAGGAGACUCUUGAGAGUCCCAUGGACUGCAAGAAGAUCAAACCUAUCCAUUCUGAAGGAAAUCAGCCCUGAGUGCUCACUGGAAGGGCAGAUCGUGAAGCUGAGGAUCCAAUACUUUGGCCACCUCAUGAGAAGAGAAGACUCCCUGGAAAAGACCCUGAUGUUGGGAAAGAUUGAGGGCACUAGGAGAAGGGGACAACAGAGGACGAGAUGGUUGCACAGUGUUCUCGAAGCUACGAACAUGAGUCUGACCAAACUGCGGGAGGCAGUGGAAGACAGGAGUGCCUGGCGUGCUAUGGUCCAUAGGGUCACGAAGAGUCGGACACAACUAAAUGACUAAACAACAACAACAACAAUUGUUGAUAUUAUUAUGAAUAAUAAAACUUGUUUAUUUGAUUUUCAGAUCAAAGUUUUACAAUCACAUAUCCAAUACACAACAUAAAAAAACAAGAUUCCAAGGAAUCUCCUGGGCUUCCCUCCUCCCCUUUGUGGGCCUUAUUGUUAAUCAUUUCCUCCUGCAUCUUCUAUGAUAAUCCAAAUCUUUUACAUCUCCAUUAUGUCCAAAAUCACCAGUGUUAUUCCAGUCCUGCUAACAGUUUUAACUGUUUACAAUGGUUUUAAAGAUAAAUUAUAAAAUUUCCCCAUUCCUUAUUAAAAUUUUGGUCUUCCUGACUUCUGAUUCUUCUGGUCAUUCUAGCUGUUUCAGCAUACUCCAUUAACUUAAUCUGCCAUUCUUCUCUGAUAGGAACGUUAUCUUCUUUCCAUCUCUGGUCGCAGCCGUGGUCACAUACAUAAAUAGCUUUUCUGCUUCCUUUGUGAUUUCAACACCUAGGAUUCCUAAAAGAAUAAAAUUAUUAUUAUUAUUAUUAAUUAUUAUUCUUCACAUUGAAGGGGGUUGGGCGAUGAGCCUCGUUGGAUCGGGCCAAUGGCCUGCCUGGUCAUAGAAUCAUAGAAUUGUAGAGUUGGA